rnacentral:rRNA from 1 species
UGUCUUCUAAAUAAAGACCUGUAUGAAUGGCUAAAUGAAUAUUUUACUGUCUCCUUUAACCAAUCAAUGAAACUGAUCUUUCAGUACAAAAGCUGAAAUAAAACCAUAAGACGAGAAGACCCUGUGGAGCUUUAAGCUUACAUCAAUACCCCCUUACUAAAAGAGUAUAUGAUUAAUGCUUUAAGUUGGGGCGACUUUGGAGAAAAACAAAACCUCCAAGAAAAAUAAGGCCCUGCCUAAACAAGGCUGACAAGCAGAAAUAUGCGACCCAGUACUACUGAUCAACGAACCAAGUUACCCCAGGGAUAACAGCGCUAUCUUCUUCAAGAGUUCAUAUCGACAAGAAGGUUUACGACCUCGAUGUUGGAUCAGGACACCCAAAUGGUGCAGCCGCUAUUAAAGGUUCGUUUGUUCAACGAUUAAUAGU